CACCGAAGCUGCGGCAGCGACGCUGAUGCGUUGUUGGGUAGGGGAGCGUUCUGUAAGCCUGCGAAGGUGGCCUGUGAGGGUUGCUGGAGGUAUCAGAAGUGCGAAUGCUGACAUAAGUAACGAUAAAGCGGGUGAAAAGCCCGCUCGCCGGAAGACCAAGGGUUCCUGUCCAACGUUAAUCGGGGCAGGGUGAGUCGACCCCUAAGGCGAGGCCGAAAGGCGUAGUCGAUGGGAAACGGGUUAAUAUUCCCGUACUUGGUGUUACUGCGAAGGGGGGACGGAGAAGGCUAAGUUGGCCGGGCGACGGAUGUCCCGGUAUAAGCGUGUAGGUGUGUGUU
rnacentral:rRNA from 1 species